rnacentral:rRNA from 1 species
GUCGAGCGGUAGAGAGAAGCUUGCUUCUCUUGAGAGCGGCGGACGGGUGAGUAAUGCCUAGGAAUCUGCCUGGUAGUGGGGGAUAACGUUCGGAAACGGACGCUAAUACCGCAUACGUCCUACGGGAGAAAGCAGGGGACCUUCGGGCCUUGCGCUAUCAGAUGAGCCUAGGUCGGAUUAGCUAGUUGGUGGGGUAAUGGCUCACCAAGGCGACGAUCCGUAACUGGUCUGAGAGGAUGAUCAGUCACACUGGAACUGAGACACGGUCCAGACUCCUACGGGAGGCAGCAGUGGGGAAUAUUGGACAAUGGGCGAAAGCCUGAUCCAGCCAUGCCGCGUGCGUGAAGAAGGUCUUCGGAUUGUAAAGCACUUUAAGUUGGGAGGAAGAGCAGUUACCUAAUACGUGAUUGUUUUGACGUUACCGACAGAAUAAGCACCGGCUAACUCUGUGCCAGCAGCCGCGGUAAU